rnacentral:rRNA from 9 species
GACUCUCGGCAACGGAUAUCUCGGCUCUCGCAUCGAUGAAGAACGUAGCGAAAUGCGAUACUUGGUGUGAAUUGCAGAAUCCCGUGAACCAUCGAGUCUUUGAACGCAAGUUGCGCCCGAAGCCGUUACGCGAGGGCACGUCUGCCUGGGCGUCA